rnacentral:tRNA from 1 species
GCUGGUGUGGCUCAGUGGAUAGAGCAUCAGCCUGGGGGCUAAAGGGUCCCAGGUUCGAUUCCUGGUCAGGGCA